CUGUUGCUUCAGGUCUGCAGGCGCCAUUGCCUCAGUCCCCAGGGGCCAGGAAUGAAGGAAGGAGAGCCCUUCCGUCUUCUGAACUCUUUGUGGCCCCCACAUGUUCUGUGCCAACUCAGCAGAGAAGGCAGGCCUCAGAGGGUAUCAGUUCCCCAAAGACAAUGAAGUAAGAAACAGGACCAGAGGUGCCAGGCAUACAAACAGGCUCCAUGCAGACAAGUGGUGCUCAUCGGUCCCCGGCCCCCAGAGCCUGGCCUGACGUAGCAAAGCACGCCCUGAGGGGAAGCUGCUCCAGCCUCCGCAUCCUUGACCAUCUGCACAAAGGAUAAGAAUGGGAGCGACAUCAAAGGAGAGGAAAUCAGGGCCUCCCUACAAUGUGGACAGUCACUGGAGCAAGAGACAAACAGGCAUCAGAUUUGGAGAUAAAACAGCCCAGCGCAGGAGCCAGGGUGGGAUGGUGCAGCACAGCAGCUGAUGCAGAGCAUAUCAGGGUAAAGGAGCCCUGCCAGGGCAACUGUGGGGCUCACAUUUGACCGGGCUUCUCCUGGGGGCCAGGACACACGGAGGAGAAUGCACUGUGAAGCCAGGGAGAGAGGGUGAGCGAUUGCAUUCUCUUGGACUCCAGGGGUUGGUCCCACCCACCCGUCUUUCCCUGGGAAUGGUAUAUUCUCUACUUCUGUGUGUGAAGUGGAGCUCAGAGACUGGAGAAGGAGUCCUGCAUAUCUAUUACUGGUCACAGGUGUGUCUAACAACAGGUUUCCCUGCCAGUGGCAUCAAUGCCCAAAAUCUGCUCAUUCAUGGUGCCCAGUAACCAUCAGGUUGUGCAGGAAAAGUGCCAGACCUUUUCUCCCCUCAGGACACGCAAGGAAAUGUUCCUCCAUUCUUGGCCACUAGCCAACAACCAGGAAGUGAGCCCCAAUCUCCGACAAGAAGAUUCUAUGAAUAUAAGAGUCUUUUUACAUUUUGACAAUACAAAACACCAAGUCCUGUAAGUACGAGUGGAGCAAACUGCACCUAAGCCAUCCCCACACAGGCAUCUGUGGUCAGUGACCCAUGUCAGUGAGGCAGAAACAUUGCCUACCAGCACAUGCUGAGGCCGGCUCAGCCCGCUCACUUGUUUGGAGGACAACUUGGUCAGAGAGCAAACCCCUGGGCUCUGCUGGUGCUGCUUCACUAGAAAUGUGUCACGGCUUCAAACCAAGAAGGACAUUUGGGCAAAACCAUCUGUGUCCUGGACAUGCUUGUCACAGCUGUGCAAAGCCUGAGCGAGGAAAGAAAGGUCUUUGCGUGGGCCUCAGCUUCCCUUCCCUUCUCCAAAGCCCCAUUUGUCCCCUUCCCCUUGCUUGCAAACUACCCCGUGGCCACAGGCCCUUCUUUCUUCUGUGAAUGUUCCCUGCUCUUCCCUUUCGUAAAUUGGCUGCUCCCUGGGGACACCACUUCCCCGCAUUCUCGCCCAGUUGCAGCUGUGCAGCACUCCCACCCACCCCCAAGGUCUCCGUCUCCUGCCUGCAGCCUGUGCAAACUCUCUGUGCCCUGGGCCCCUUGCCCAGCACCCACUUGCCUGCUCCUCUGCCUGCUCCUUGGAGCCCAGUCCUGCUCUGCACAGCAGCCGCUCACAGGCACCAUGGCCCCUGAAAGUCCUCCUUGGCACUGCACCUCCAAAACCAAGAGCCAAGAACCCCUUCCCUGCCCACCACCUCUUCAUGAGGCACAGGCACACGACCCUCUCCUCCCAGCUGCUUUGCAGGCGUGGCAGGCACGAAACCCCAGUGUCCACCGUUUUCAGCAGUGUUGGGAGCAGUCACCCAACCUCCUGGCUCUGAGUCUUUCUGAAUUACGUGUCUGAUAAAACUCUCA